rnacentral:rRNA from 1 species
GAUACCCUAUUAUUGUAAAUGUAAAAUUAUACUAGAUUAGUAUUAGUUAAGUUCUUGAAAAUUAAAGAUUUUGGCGGUUUUUUAGUCUAUUCAGAGGAACCUGUCCUAUAAUCGAUAGUCCACGAUUUAAAUAACUUUUUUUAUAGUUUGUAUAUCGUCGUAGUUAGAAUAUUCUAAAAGGAUUUAAAUUUUCAAGAAUUAUUUUUUAAAAUAGAUCAGAUCAAGGUAUAGCUUAUAAAAAAGAAGAGAUGGGUUACAUUAAUUUUAAUUAUGAAUUAUUUUUUUAUAAAAAAUAUGAAUUUGGAUUUGAAUGUAAUUUUAUAUAUUUAGAUAAAAUGAUUAAAGCUCUAAAAUAUGUACAUAUCGCCCCGUCGCUU